UACGUAGGGUGCAAGCGUUAAUCGGAAUUACUGGGCGUAAAGGGCUCGUAGGCGGCCAACUAAGUCAGACGUGAAAUCCCUCGGCUUAACCGGGGAACUGCAUCUGAUACUGGAUGGCUUGAGUUUGGGAGAGGGAUGCGGAAUUCCAGGUGUAGCGGUGAAAUGCGUAGAUAUCAGGAGGAACACCGGUGGCGAAGGCGGUUCUCUGGGCCUUACCUGACGCUGAGGAGCGAAAGCGUGGGGAGCAAACAGG
rnacentral:rRNA from 1 species